rnacentral:rRNA from 1 species
UGGCGGCAGGCCUAACACAUGCAAGUCGAGCGGUAGAGAGAAGCUUGCUUCUCUUGAGAGCGGCGGACGGGUGAGUAAUGCCUAGGAAUCUGCCUGGUAGUGGGGGAUAACGUUCGGAAACGGACGCUAAUACCGCAUACGUCCUACGGGAGAAAGCAGGGGACCUUCGGGCCUUGCGCUAUCAGAUGAGCCUAGGUCGGAUUAGCUAGUUGGUGAGGUAAUGGCUCACCAAGGCGACGAUCCGUAACUGGUCUGAGAGGAUGAUCAGUCACACUGGAACUGAGACACGGUCCAGACUCCUACGGGAGGCAGCAGUGGGGAAUAUUGGACAAUGGGCGAAAGCCUGAUCCAGCCAUGCCGCGUGUGUGAAGAAGGUCUUCGGAUUGUAAAGCACUUUAAGUUGGGAGGAAGGGUUGUAGAUUAAUACUCUGCAAUUUUGACGUUACCGACAGAAUAAGCACCGGCUAACUCUGUGCCAGCAGCCGCGGUAAUACAGAGGGUGCAAGCGUUAAUCGGAAUUACUGGGCGUAAAGCGCGCGUAGGUGGUUUGUUAAGUUGGAUGUGAAAUCCCCGGGCUCAACCUGGGAACUGCAUUCAAAACUGACUGACUAGAGUAUGGUAGAGGGUGGUGGAAUUUCCUGUGUAGCGGUGAAAUGCGUAGAUAUAGGAAGGAACACCAGUGGCGAAGGCGACCACCUGGACUAAUACUGACACUGAGGUGCGAAAGCGUG